rnacentral:rRNA from 1 species
CUCCGGUUGAUCCUGCCGGACCCGACUGCUAUCGGAUUGAGAUUUAGCCAUGCGAGUCGAACGUCCCCCUGUUGCGGGGGGCGUGGCGUACGGCUCAGUAACACGUAGUCAACCUGCCCUGGAGACAAGGACAACCCCGGGAAACUGGGAUUAAUCCUUGAUAGGUCAUCUCAUCUGGAAGGAGAGAUGGCUUAAAGGGGUACGCGGGCUUCUUCCGCGAAUUCGCUCCAGGAUGGGACUGCGUCCGAUCAGGCUGUUGGCGGGGUAAUGGCCCACCAAACCUGUAACCGGUACGGGCCUUGAGAGAGGUGGCCCGGAGAUGGACACUGAGAGAAGGGUCCAGGUCCUACGGGGCGCAGCAGGCGCGAAACCUUCGCAAUGCGCGAAAGCGUGACGAGGUUAAUCCGAGUGAUUUCCGCUGAGGAGAUCUUUUGUCAGCUGUAAAUAGGCAGGCGAAUAAGGGGAGGGCAAGCCUGGUGUCAGCCGCCGCGGUAAUACCAGCUCCUCGAGUGGUCGGGGCGAUUAUUGGGCCUAAAGCAUCCGUAGCCGGUUCCGUAGGUCCUCUGUUAAAUCCAACCGCUUAACGGUUGACCUGCAGAGGAUACCGCGGGACUAGGAGGCGGGAGAGGCGGACGGUAUUCCGCGUGUAGGGGUAAAAUCCUUUGAUUCGCGGAGGACCACCAGUGGCGAAGGCGGUCCGCCAGAACGCGCUCGACGGUGAGGGAUGAAAGCUGGGGGAGCGAACCGGAUUAGAUACCCGGGUAGUCCCAGCCGUAAACGAUGCUAGCUAGAUGAUUCAUUCGCAAGUCGCGAAUGAAGUGUCGCAGGGAAGCCGUUAAGCUAGCCGCCUGGGGAGUACGGUCGCAAGACUGAAACUUAAAGGAAUUGGCGGGGGAGCA